rnacentral:lncRNA from 1 species
UGGUGUGUCAUACAAUAUUUAAAAAAAAAAGUGUAGGGAAAGUAAUUUGAAGUGUGUAAAACUGCAAAUAUAAUAUCUCUUUUUCAUAUUAUAUUUGGACCACCUAACUAAUAAAGAUGGGUCUCACAUGUGUUUCUGGGUCUUACCUUUUUUACAGAUGAGAUUCACAAAAAUAACAUUAUUCCUACAUUUGUCAUUUGUACAUUACACUUUAGGCAAAUCUUAGCUAUUCAAUUUAUCAAACAAAGUAAAUCAGUUUACAUCAUAUUAGAACAAAAUACACGUUUGCACCUUAGCACUAAUAUCUAUCUGGGUGUCUACUUUCUCGCUGUCCUCCCAACUUCUGUUCCCGCAAAUUGAACAAAAACUUCAAUUGCUUUUCAUAAAUGGAUUGAGAAUUCAAUUCCAAAAGUUAAUAUAAGUAAGAAAAUGGGUGCCUUUUUCCUCCGAUUUUGUUAAUCGUUUUUCGUUCUCCUACUGGAUCCCAGUGAAAGACAUAAUUAGUAGGAUUAACUGAUAUUAGUCAACCUUUCACCCAUCCAUCAUAAGAAAUCUCACAGCAUCCAUGUGAAGUUCUCUUUGUGAUCUUACAGAAGAGGGGAGCAGACGGCAAGAGAGAUGUGUGAGGAGAAAGGCAUAGAGACGCAGAGUGAUAUGGUGUGAAAGCGAUGUCAAUAUAAAUCUGAUGUGGAUGGAGUAGAUUAAUCAAAUGAUCAAGAUUUGUCUAAAUUCACCUAAAUGCACCGAUAAUAAAUGUAUAGACUCGAGACUCGGAGAUGAGCUUAUUUCCUACUUACAAAUAAUGUAUCUUCAUCAUAGAAAUUUCAUAAUCGAUCGGAACUGUUCUGUUUUUUAAUUUUUUUUUUUUGUAGAUCAUCAUUACAAAAAAUUAAUCGAAUCGAUAAUUGUUUAAUCAUCCAAGUAUAUUAAAUAAAUGAAUGAUUCAUCGUUAAUAUGUUAUAUAGUGUUGAUUUACUUGAUACAUUUGAAUGAUUAAACAAUCACCGAUUCCAAUAACUUUUUGUAAGAAUAAUCUUCAAAUAAAAAUUAAGAAAUUGAACGAACAUUUUUACAAUAAAAAUACAUCAUUUACAAGUAAAUGAAUUAGCUCAUUCACCACCCAAGAAGAAAAUGCAAGUAUUAUUCAUAAGAAUAUCUUUCUUCACACGAUAAUAGUGAGUCUUGUUUGGGGAUGAGGUGAUGCAUGACCAAUUAAUUGUUAACACGAUAUUCAUAUGAUAAUUACUAAGUAACUAGUCUUGUUUGAGAAAUGCCAUGUGAAUUUGAAAGAGAAAAAAGGCCAAAUAAUUACGCACCGACCACUAGGGUCAAGCAUCAUUACGUCGCACUAUCAUUUAAAGAAAGUGUUAUCCAUAUACAUUUUGUUUGGGGGAUGAGAUGAUGCAUGACCAAUUAAUUUUUAACACGAUAUACAUAUGGAUAAUUGCUAAUAGUCUUGUUUGCGAAAUGCCAUGUGAAUUUGAAAGAGAAAUAAGGCCAAAUAAUAAUGUACGGGACCACUAGGUACCAGUGUCUCCCAACAACUCAUGCAUCAUUUCGUCGUACUAUCAUUUGAAAUGGAUGUUAUACACACCUUUUUUUUUUUUUUUUUUACUUCUCACACAUUCUUAUUAAUUUAUAUCAUUUGAUUUUCUUCUUUUUAUCAACGGUGAAAAAUUAAAAGAAUGUAAAAAGUAAAAUAAAUGUGUGAACAUCAUAUCUCUUUUAAGAGACGGCCAAAGUAGCUUUCUCUUCCCGUGUUAAUUGCUUGCUUUGUUCAAACUACCGCACUAGUAGCUAGAUCCAAAGAUUUGUACUGUGAAUGUCAUAUAAAGAUGAAAACUACAACCAAGCACGUGCAUGAGUUAUUCACUAAAUAAUUGAUGCAUCUUUAGAAGUACUUGUGGCGUGUUUAUUGUGAUCGAAAUUGAAACGAGAAGUUGAAUUUCAAUUACGUCAUAUUAGAACAAAAUACACGUUUGCACCUUAGCACUAAUUUCUAUCUGGGAGUCUACUUUCUCGCUGUCCUCCCAACUUCUGUCGCAAAUUGAACGAAAACUUCAAUUGCUUUUCAUAAAUGGAUUGAGAAUUCAAUUCCAAAAGUUAAUAUAAGUAAUAAAAUGGGUGCCUUUUCCUCCGAUUUUGUUAAUCGUUUUUUGUUCUCCUACUGGAUCCCAGUGAAAGACAUAAUUAGUAGGAUUAACUGAUAUUAGUCAACCUUUCACCCAUCCAUCAUAAGAAACCUCACAGCAUCCAUGUGAAGUUCUCUUUGUGAUCUUACAGAAGAGGGGAGAAGACGGCAAGAGAGAUGGGUGAGGAGGAAGGCAGAGAGACGCAGAGUGAUAUGGUGUGAAGGCGAUGUCAAUAUAAAUCUGAUGUGGAUGGAGUAGAUUAAUCAAAUGAUCAAGAUUUGUCUAAAUUCACCUAAAUGCACCGAUAAUAAAUGUAUAGACUCGAGAUUCGGAGAUGAGCUCAUUCCCUACUUACAAAUAAUGUAUCUUCAUCAUAAAAUUUUCAUAAUCGAUCGGAACUGUUCUGUUUUUUAAUUUUUUUUUUUUUGUAGAUCAUCAUUACAAAAAAUUAAUCGAAUCGAUAAUUGUUUAGUCAUCCAAGUAUAUUAAAUAAAUGGAUGAUUCAUCAUUGACAUGUUAUAUAGUGUUGAUUUACUUCGUGACAACCCGUCCCUAAUUUUCUAUGUAAUUUUCUCCCCAUGUGUGUAAAUUGAUGUUGAUGCCCUUGUUGGAAAAGUGACGUGGACUUGGUUAUUCGGUUUUAAAUUAUUUUUCUCAUUAUCCUAAUUAAAUAGUACUCGUUGUUACGAGCGCGUGAGCACGAGUUAGGCUUGAAACAGACUUGUAACGAAAAUGUUACGUUUAAUUAAAGUGCGUGAACAACGGGUAAAUUUGUACACGUGCGUGUUAAUUAUUUAGUGUUGAAAAC